UUUCAUAGGAGUCUUUUAUUAGGGGAAUUUUUGUACACAUAUAACAUAUUUAUUUGUCUUCCAUUUAAUAAUUAAGGGGUGGGUUGGGCUUCAUACAUUUGGAUUUGUCUUCCAUUUAAGGGUUGAGUUGGUCUUGCAUUUCUCUUGCAUGUUGGAUCCAAUGGAGCUCUCAAUUCUUCUACUUGUUCUCUUGAUAUUGAUCUCACCUUGCCAAGAAUGUACCAAGAGACAAUUUCAGUGCAUGGUGGAGUUGUUAAAGAACCAGUGUAUGAGUAAUAUUUGUGAGAAUGUUUCCUUAUUUCAUGUGUAUCAAUUACUCCAAGCUGCACUUGUGUUUCUUUAUGUGUUGCUACAUCCCUUGCUAGCUCAUUCAGUUUGUUUUGAAGCUUGGUCAUUAGAGGAUCAGGAUGGCCCAAAUGGAAGAGGAUUGAUAAAACUGCUAUAGUAUUAUCUUGAGCAAAAUGAACUAGAUGAAGCUCUGCUGCAUAUUGUUUGCCAUCAAUUGUAUGUUCAGAAGGGGAAUGCCAAUGCAUUUGCUUAAAAUUGUAAGUUUUACCAUCCACAAUUAAACUUCCUGCAUUAUCACCAUAUUUUAUCCCAACAUUAAAGCCAUUAUCAACCAAAGUAGCAACUUCAGAAUGAUUAUAUUGCAUAAUUAAGGGCUUUAAAUUCUUGUUAACAACACAAUUAUGGUUAAUUAUGUUAAUUGGGGACUGUGAUUUGCCAUUUGAGCAGGCUGAAUAUGUUGGGCUUAACCUUCCCCAACCAUUUGGGCCUACUGGGCCUGUGUAACCAAAUUUGACUCCCAAAGCAUCACCAGAUGCAGUAGAAAAUAGAUUGAGCAGAAGAACUACACAUAUAUUGAUCACCCAAACUGAA
rnacentral:misc_RNA from 1 species